AGACAACGAGGAGGGAGCAGCUAGAGGGGUGGAAAUGGGAUCACGUGACCUUGCGAGAAGCAGGGAGAGAGAACACUGCGUCUGCUCCCUUUUAGAACAGCUCAAUAUAGGGAAUCCCUAACAGAGGACUUCCAGGAUAUCCUAGGGACAGCAGAGCCUCAAGAUCCAGGGAGGAUCCUGGAUACCUGAGUCACCACUUGGAGGGGAAUCUCCUGGAAGAACUGAUUGAUCAGCAACAUCU
rnacentral:lncRNA from 1 species